GUAGGAUUCACUCAGUGAAAAUGAACAUUCUCCCUAGGAUUCUGUUUCUAUUUCAGGCUCUCCCGGUCCGGCUGUCCAAGUCUGAUCUGGGGGCACUCCAGCAGGCCAUGGGGAAAUUUAUUUGGCAAAACAGGAAACAUAGAGUUUCGCGUAACGUUCUUUACACGGCAAGAGCGAGGGAGGGCUUAGGUCUACCAAACCUCUAUUUCUACUAUUUAUCGUCCCAACUAACUCAAAUAGCACUUUGGCAUGCUCCUCCGGAAGAGAGGCGGUGGGUCGACCUGGAGGCCACCCUCAUGGGUUCCGAC